UGAGGGGCAUGUGAGGGCUGUCGCUGACUCAAAGUCGUGCACGCCCGAGUGUGUCCUCUCACAUAAUAAUCCAUCUCACCCUUUGUGCAUCGCCGCGUGGGCACCCUUUGGGAUCAUCUCGGAGGGGGCUCGCGUUUUCACACAAACCCCCCUUUUAAAAGUGUAGAAUGACCUCAUUUAUGCGCUAACACGCAAUCAAUACAACUUUCAACAACGGAUCUCUUGGCUCUCGCAUCGAUGAAGAACGCAGCGAAAUGCGAUACGUAAUGUGAAUUGCAGAAUUCAGUGAAUCAUCGAAUCUUUGAACGCACCUUGCGCCCCUUGGUAUUCCGAGGGGCACACCCGUUUGAGUGUCGUGAAAACCUCAACCUCCUUGGUUUCUUCUGGAGACCAAAGGCAGGCUUGGACUUUGGAGGCCUUUGCUGGAACCUCUCUCUUUUGAAGGCCAGCUCCUCUUAAACGAAUUAGCAGGGUCCUCUUUGCCGAUCCUCGACGUGUGAUAAGAUGUUUCCAUGUCUUGGUUUCUGGCUCUGUCACUUUUGGGACCCGCUUCUAACCGUCUUGACCUUGCAUCGAGACAAUGUUCGAGCAUGUCUCCCUUCUCGGGAAGCUCCCUCGACCCCACGAACCCUUGACCUCAAAUCGGGUGAGACUACCCGCUGAACUUAAGCAUAUCAAUAAGCGGAGGAAAAGAAACUAACAAGGAUUCCCCUAGUAACUGCGAGUGAAGCGGGAAAAGCUCAAAUUUAAAAUCUGGCGGUCUUUGGCCGUCCGAGUUGUAAUUUAGAGAAGCGUCUUCCGCGCUGGACCGUGUACAA
rnacentral:rRNA from 1 species